ensembl:lncRNA
GGAAAAAUCCCAGAAAAAAAUAAAAACCCCAAACCCCAGGACAAGCGGAGCCACCACAGCCCCAAUGGAACCUCCCCAAUUCUCUAUUUACAAAAUCCACCCGGAAUUUUCUUGGCAUAUUCCCAAAAAUCCUCAGCCAGCGCUGCCAAAGGGUCGGGGCCCACCCAGAGCCCCCAAUUUGGGAUCCGACCCCUUCCCAAUGGGGUUCCCUGCCCGGAUCCCAAAUUCCCUGCCCAGAUCCCAAAUUCCCUAUGCAAAUCCCAAUUUCUCUAUCAAAAUCCCAAAUUCCCUGCCCAGAUCCCAAUUUCCCUGACCAAAUCCCAGUUUCUCUACUCAAAUCCCAAUUUUUCUAUCCAAAUCCCAAUUUCCCUAUGCAAAUCCCAAUUUCCCUGCCCAAAUCUCAAUUUCCCUGCUCAAAUCCCAAUUUCCCUAUGUAGAUCCCAAUUUCCCUAUGCAAAUCCCAAUUUCCCAGUCCAGAUCCCAAAUUCCCUAUGUAAAUCCCAAUUUCUCUGCCCAAAUCUCAAUUUCUCAAUCCAGAUCCCAAUUUUUCUAUCCAAAUCCCAAUUUCUUUAUGCAGAUCCCAAUUUCCCUGACAAAAUCCCGGUUUCUCUACUCAAAUCCCAAUUUUUCUAUAAAAAUCCCAAUUUCCCUGCUCAGAUCCCAAUUUCUCUAUCAAAAUCCCAAUUUCUCUGUUCAAAUCUCAAUUUCUCAAUCCAGAUCCCAAUUUUUCUAUCCAAAUCCCAAUUUCCCAGCUCAUAUCCCAAUUUCUCAAUCCAGAUCCCAAUUUCUCUGCUCAAAUCCCAAUUUCUUUAUGCAAAUCCCAAUUUCCCUGACCAAAUCCCAAUUUCCCAGCCCAAAUCCCAAUUUCCCUGCCCGGAUCCCAAUUUCCCUAUGCAAAUCCCAAUUUUUCUAUCCAAAUCCCAAUUUCUCUGCUCAAAUCCCAAUUUCCCUGCCCAGAUCCCAAAUUCCCAGUCCAGAUCCCAAUUUCUCUAUCAAAAUCCCAAUUUCUCUGCCCAAAUCCCAAUUUCUCAAUCCAGAUCCCAAUUUUUCUAUCCAAAUCCCAAUUUCCCUAUGCAGAUCCCAAAUUCCCAACUUAUAUCCCAAUUUCCCAGCCCAAAUCCCAAUUUCCCAUCUCAUUUCUCCCAAUCUCUCCGGGUGGGAUUUUUCCAAACCCACAGCGAUCCCAACACCUCUGCGCUGGCACUGGCUAAAAAAAACAUCAAAAAAAAUAAAAUUAUUUCUACAAAAAAAAAAUAAAAAAAAAACCAAAAAAACAAAAACCUCCUCAAGGCUGUGGGGAGCAGUGAGCACCACAAACCCCCAGGAUUCCUGCCUAAAAUUCAAGCUUCCAUGGAUUUUUUAUCUAUUUAAAAUUCCCUAGGGUCAGGGCAUGUCACAGAACCUAAUUAGCAUCUUCCUCCCAUCCUCCAAUCUCACUUGGAUUCUGCCUAUAUUUGUAUUUUUUCUAGUUUUUUUUUGUUAAAUAUAUAUAUAUAUAUACACAUUUUUUUUUCUUACAAAAAUAAAUUUAGGCUUUUUUUUUAAUAAUAUUUUUUU